rnacentral:rRNA from 1 species
UACGUAGGGGGGCAAGCGUUGUCCGGAUUUAUUGGGCGUAAAGAGCGUGUAGGCGGUUUGGUAGGUCCGCUGUGAAAAACUCGAGGCUCAACCUCGAGACGCCGGUGGAAACCAUCAGACUAGAGUCCGGAAGAGGAGAGUGGAAUUCCUGGUCGUAGCGGUGAAAUGCGCAGAUAUCAGGAAGAACACCCGUGGCUAAGGCGGCUCUCUAGUACGGUACUGACGCUGAGACGCGAAAGCGUGGGGAGCGAACAGG